CCCUUAGAUGUUCUGGGCCGCACGCGCGCUACACUGACUGGUUCAUCGAGCUUACAACCUUGACUGAUAGGUUUGGGUAAUCUUUUGAAAGCCAGUCGUGAUGGGGAUAGAUUAUUGUAAUUUUUAAUCUUCAACGAGGAAUUCCUAGUAAACGCAAGUCAUCAACUUGCAUUGAUUACGUCCCUGCCCUUUGUACACACCGCCCGUCGCUACUACCGAUUGAAUGGUUUAGUGAGGACUCCUGAUUGGCGCCGCCGCCCCGGCAACGGAGCAGCGGACUGCCGAAAAGUUGUUCAAACUUGAUCAUUUAGAGGAAGUAAAAGUCGUAACA
rnacentral:rRNA from 1 species